UACGGAGGGUGCGAGCGUUAAUCGGAAUAACUGGGCGUAAAGGGCGCGCAGGCGGGUUUUCAAGUGAGAUGUGAAAUCCCCGGGCUUAACCUGGGAAUAGCAUUUGAGACUGGGAGGCUAGAGUACGUUAGGGAGGGGUAGAAUUCCACGUGUAGCGGUGAAAUGCGUAGAGAUGUGGAGGAAUACCGAUGGCGAAGGCAGCCCCUUGGGAAUGUACUGACGCUCAUGCGCGAAAGCGUGGGGAGCAAACAGG
rnacentral:rRNA from 1 species